UAUAUAGUUCGUGUGUGUGUGUGUGUGUAUGUAUAUAUAUAUAAACACACAUACAUACACACAAUAUAUG